AUCAUAAUAUACUUUGGAAUUGAACAAAAAUAAAAUAUAGAAAAGAAAGGGUAAGCAAAGCGAUAGGUAAACAUAAACAAUACAGGAUCUCUUUCGUAAUCAACAUUUGCUUGCAGUUGGAGGAAACAAGCCUAUUUGUUGGGCACUAGCAAUAGAUCUUAGUUUACGACGUGCAUUAUUGGGAGCAGGGAAAGGCUCUUCCAUUCCUCUAUUAGGUCCAUGGCUUACAAAUAUUUUCGGGCGGUAAGCAGGGUUCUCGUCCAUAACACACGAGUUUCGGAAUUUUUCAAUCAGCCUGUCUUUGCCUUGAAUAUUA